AAUACUGGACCAAGAGUUACCAUUGCCCCCAGCAAUUCCACUUCCUGAGUUCCACCCAAAGGAGCUGAAAGCAAGGGCUCAAAUAUUUGUACGCUUCUGCACGAAACACCUCUGCUGUUCUCAUAAUCGCACGGUUCUCAACUGGCAAAAUUUGGCAACAGCCGAGAUGCCCGUGGAGGUUGGGACUGGAUAAACAGAAGGGUGUCCAUCCACAUGCUGGAAUAAUCUGAACUUUAGAAGGAAGGACAUCCUCACAGUGGCUCCAAUAAGAGGAACCUGGAGGGCCUGCGCGCAGGAGGAAAAGACAGUUGGACCCGAGGUUUUGGAGUCCACUUCCACCAAACAUCUAGCAGAGACCAGACACUGAGCUCCGGCAAAGAGGAAUGUCGUUGGUCCUGUUGGCUGAUGUGACCCCAGGCCCCAGGCAGUGCGUGGCACACAGAGGUUCUCAGGAGAUCCUUCCGCUGCAUGCCCAGCGUGGAGCCCAAUGCGUGCACGCAGCGAGCCGAGAUCUCACAAGACCUGAGCAGAGAUCAAGAGCGGGACACCUGGGCGACUCAGCCAGCCAGGCGCCCCUCCGAGAGACAGGUCGGUGCCCCAUGAGAGCUGGUAAUAACCACAGAACCGACGCCAUGUGCCUGCUGCGAGCCAGGCCCCACGAAGUCUCCUGGCCGGGCCUCAGUUUCCUCAUCUGUAAACCACCACCAGCCAGAGCAGCGCCCUCCUAGGGCCGUUGCAAGGAUGAGAGGAGCCAACGGUGCCACCCGAGCCCUCCUGGCGGCGGGGCGAGGCUGCCCUGGUUCUUCCUCUGCUGCAUUUAGCUCACUCACAUUUCCUGGACUCAUGGAGCCCGAGACCCCUGGCGGAGCCUGCAGGGCCACCGGCCCCUGCCGACGUGUCCCCUGGCCAGGCAGUGUCCAGGGAUGGGGUCCUUGGGGAGUGUGUGCCCCGCAAGGCACAGCAGGCCCGUUCUCACUCGCUGGCCCUGCCCCGUCCCCCAUGUCAGCCCUUUGAUCAGAUCCAUCUUCUUCCCCCUCAAGCACAUGUAGCAAGACCUCACCUUGGGAUGUUCAGACUCUCCCUCGCCCCCCCCACUUCUCCUCCUCCAGGAAGCCCUCCUGCUCUCCCCAGUCCCCCCUACCUUGGGUGGGGGGCUUUCUGAGUUCCUCCCUUUGUUCCAGACCAGACCGCUUGGGGCUGGAAAUGGCUUCAUCA